UAGGGCCCUUUCGGGUCUUAUAAUUGGAAUGAGUACAAUUUAAAUCCCUUAACGAGGAACAAUUGGAGGGCAAGUCUGGUGCCAGCAGCCGCGGUAAUUCCAGCUCCAAUAGCGUAUAUUAAAUUUGUUGCAGUUAAAAAGCUCGUAGUUGAAUUUCUGCUGCAUUACAUUUCUCUUGUUUGAGUUUGUUAUUGUGGCUUAUUUCGGAUUGAUUUUUAUCAUUCCGGAUGAUUACUUUGAGAAAAUUAGAGUGCUCAAAGCAGGCUUUUGCCUUGAAUAGUUUAGCAUGGAAUAAUAGAGUAGGACUUUGGUUCUAUUUUGUUGGUUUUAGGUACCAAAGUAAUGGUUAAUAGGAACAGUUGGGGGCAUUCGUAUUUAACUGUCAGAGGUGAAAUUCUUAGAUUUGUUAAAGACGAACUACUGCGAAAGCAUUUGCCAAGGAUGUUUUCAUUAAUCAAGAAC
rnacentral:rRNA from 1 species